AGUGAACGCUGGCGGCAGGCCUAAUACAUGCAAGUCGAACGGCAGCACAGCAGAGCUUGCUCUGUGGGUGGCGAGUGGCGGACGGGUGAGGAAUACAUGGGAAUCUGCCCAGUCGUGGGGGAUAACGUAGGGAAACUUACGCUAAUACCGCAUGCGCCCUUCGGGGGAAAGCCGGGGGACCUUCGGGCCUGGCGCGAUUG
rnacentral:rRNA from 1 species